UACGGAGGGUGCAAGCGUUGUCCGGAUUCAUUGGGUUUAAAGGGUGCGCAGGCGGGACAUUAAGUCAGGGGUGAAAGACGGUUGCUCAACAAUCGCAGUGCCUUUGAUACUGGUGUUCUUGGGUGACCUUGGGGUAGGCGGAAUGGGUGGUGUAGCGGUGAAAUGCAUAGAUACCACCCAGAACUCCGAUUGCGAAGGCAGCCUACUGGAGGUUUACCGACGCUCAGGCACGAAAGCGUGGGGAUCAAACAGG
rnacentral:rRNA from 1 species